rnacentral:tRNA from 1 species
GAAGGUAUAGCUCAAGUGGCAGAGUGCAUGCUUAGCAAAUGCAUGAGGUCCAGGGUUCAAUCCUCAGUACCUCCU